rnacentral:rRNA from 1 species
GACGAGGGAUCCUAGCGUUGUUCGGAAUCAUUGGGCGUAAAGCGGGUGCAGGUGGCUUGUAAGUCAGGUGUGAAAUCCCAGGGCUCAACCCUGGAAGUGCAUUUGAUACUGCGAAGCUUGAGUGUGGGAGAGGUGAGUAGAAUUCCAGGUGUAGUGUGAAAUACGUAGAUAUCUGGAGGAAUACCGGAGGCGAAGGCGGCUCAGUGGCCCAACACUGACACUCAGACCCGAAGCGUGGGGAUCAAACAGG